CCAGACUCCUACGGGAGGCAGCAGUGGGGGAUAUUGCACAAUGGGGGGAACCCUGAUGCAGCGACGCCGCGUGGGUGAAGGAGUAUUUCGGUAUGUAAAGCCCUAUCGGCAGGGAAGAAGCAAGACGGUACCUGACUAAGAAGCCCCGGCUAACUACGUGCCAGCAGCCGCGGUAAUACGUAGGGGGCGAGCGUUAUCCGGAUUCACUGGGUGUAAAGGGAGCGUAGACGGCCAAGCAAGCCAGGGGUGAAAGCCCGGGGCUCAACCGCGGGACUGCUUUUGAAACUGUGUAGCUAGAGUGCAGGAGAGGUAAGUGGAAUUCCUAGUGUAGCGGUGAAAUGCGUAGAUAUUAGGAGGAACACCGGUGGCGAAGGCGGCUUACUGGACUGUAACUGACGUUGAGGCUCGAAAGCGUGGGGAGCAAACAGGAUUAGAUACCCUGGUAAU
rnacentral:rRNA from 1 species